rnacentral:rRNA from 1 species
UACGUAGGGUGCAGCGUUGUCCGGAAAUUAUUGGGCGUAAAGAGCUCGUAGGCGGUUUGUCGCGUCUGCUGUGAAAUCCCGAGGCUCAACCUCGGGCUUGCAGUGGGUACGGGCAGACUAGAGUGCGGUAGGGGAGAUUGGAAUUCCUGGUGUAGCGGUGGAAUGCGCAGAUAUCAGGAGGAACACCGAUGGCGAAGGCAGAUCUCUGGGCCGUAACUGACGCUGAGGAGCGAAAGCAUGGGGAGCGAACAGGAUUAGAUACCCUGGUAGUCCAUGCCGUAAACGUUGGGCGCUAGAUGUAGGGACCUUUCCACGGUUUCUGUGUCGUAGCUAACGCAUUAAGCGCCCCGCCUGGGGAGUACGGCCGCAAGGCUAAAACUCAAAGGAAUUGACGGGGGCCCGCACAAGCGGCGGAGCAUGCGGAUUAAUUCGAUGCAACGCGAAGAACCUUACCAAGGCUUGACAUACACCGGAAACGGCCAGAGAUGGUCGCCCCCUUGUGGUCGGUGUACAGGUGGUGCAUGGUUGUCGUCAGCUCGUGUCGUGAGAUGUUGGGUUAAGUCCCGCAACGAGCGCAACCCUCGUUCUAUGUUGCCAGCGGGUUAUGCCGGGGACUCAUAGGAGACUGCCGGGGUCAACUCGGAGGAAGGUGGGGAUGACGUCAAAUCAUCAUGCCCCUUAUGUCUUGGGCUUCACGCAUGCUACAAUGGCCGGUACAAAGGGCUGCGAUACCGUAAGGUGGAGCGAAUCCCAAAAAGCCGGUCUCAGUUCGGAUUGAGGUCUGCAACUCGACCUCAUGAAGUCGGAGUCGCUAGUAAUCGCAGAUCAGCAACGCUGCGGUGAAUACGUUCCCGGGCCUUGUACACACCGCCCGUCAAGUCAUGAAAGUCGGUAACACCCGAAGCCGGUGGCCUAACCCUUGUGAAGGAGCCGUCGAAGGUGGAUCG